CACACUAUCAUUAACUGAAUCCAUAGGUUAAUGAGGCGAACCGGGGGAACUGAAACAUCUAAGUACCCCGAGGAAAAGAAAUCAACCGAGAUUCCCCCAGUAGCGGCGAGCGAACGGGGAGCAGCCCAGAGCCUGAAUCAGUGUGUGUGUUAGUGGAAGCGUCUGGAAAGGCGCGCGAUACAGGGUGACAGCCCCGUACACAAAAAUGCACAUACUGUGAGCUCGAUGAGUAGGGCGGGACACGUGGUAUCCUGUCUGAAUAUGGGGGGACCAUCCUCCAAGGCUAAAUACUCCUGACUGACCGAUAGUGAACCAGUACCGUGAGGGAAAGGCGAAAAGAACCCCGGCGAGGGGAGUGAAAAAGAACCUGAAACCGUGUACGUACAAGCAGUGGGAGC
rnacentral:rRNA from 1 species